rnacentral:rRNA from 1 species
UACGUAGGGUGGCAAGCGUUGUCCGGAUUUAUUGGGUUUAAAGGGUGCGUAGGCGGUCUUAUAAGUCAGUGCUGAAAUAUCCCGGCUUAACCGGGAGGGUGGCAUUGAUACUGUAGGACUUGAGUAAAGUUGAGGUUGGCGGAAUUGACGGUGUAGCGGUGAAAUGCUUAGAUAUCGUCAAGAACACCGAUAGUGUAGACAGCUAACUAAGCUUUAACUGACGCUGAGGCACGAAAAGUGUGGGGGAUCAAAACAGG